rnacentral:misc_RNA from 1 species
GAUGAAGAACGUAGCGAAAUGCGAUAAGUAAUGUGAAUUGCAGAAUUCAGUGAAUCAUCGAAUCUUUGAACGCACAUUGCGCCCGCCAGUAUUCUGGCGGGCAUGCCUGUUCGAGCGUCAUUUCAACCAUCAAGCCCCAGGCUUGUGUUGGGGACCUGCGGCUGCCGCAGGCCCUGAAAACCAGUGGCGGGCUCGCUGUCACACCGGGCGUAGUAGAUUUUAUCUCGCUCUGGGCGUGCUGCGGGUUCCGGCCGUUAAAAAACCCUUUUAACCCAAGGUUGACCUCGGAUCAGGUAGGAAUACCCGCUGAACUUAAGCAUAUCAUAAGCGGAGGA